rnacentral:lncRNA from 1 species
CGCCCUAGUUCCGUUUCGCCCUGAUACCUGUUCGCCCUGGGUAUUUUUAUUUUUUUUAUUAUAGUGUUGUGUUGUGUGUAUUUAAUUGAAUAUGGUGAAGUCAGCCUACAAUUUCGCCGAAUAUUUACGAUUUUUAUUUUUUAGUAUAGCGUUGUGUUGUGUGUAUUUAAUUAAAUAUGUUGAAGUUGGUCUACAAUUUUGCCGAAUAUUUACGAUGUAUUAUGUUGUCUACAGCUAGCUGCUACUAGGUUAUAAGUUCAUGCCUAACAAUUUGUACAUCAGUGUUUUUACCCAUCCAAGCUGACUAUUUUAUUUGAGAAAAAUGUUAUUUUCAUUAU